rnacentral:rRNA from 1 species
UACAGAGGGGGCAAGCGUUAUUCGGAAUUAUUGGGCGUAAAGGGCGCGUAGGCGGCCUGGCAAGUGGAAGGUGAAAUCCCUCGGCUUAACCGAGGAACUGCCUGUCAGACUGGAAGGCUUGAGACCGGGAGAGGUGAGUGGAAUUCCCAGUGUAGCGGUGAAAUGCGUAGAUAUUGGGAGGAACACCAGUGGCGAAGGCGGCUCACUGGACCGGAACUGACGCUGAGGCGCGAAAGCGUGGGGAGCAAACAGG